UUAUUUCUUUCACUUUUUUAAUUUUGUGCGGUGAUGAAGCAAUUUGUGGACUAGAGUUUCUGAUCAUUUAGCGGUUUCAAACCCCUAAAUGGUUGAAGACAAACCCUUGGCUGUCUGAGCAUUCUAUUUUUUUUAUAAAUUUCUUGUUCUUCUUUUCAAUUGUGGUUUUUUUGGGGUUUAUGAUGAUAACUAUAAUUAUCUUAGCGGAUUUCAGUGAGAUUUUAUUAUCAAUGAUCUCAUUGUUACACACACCGAAGCCCAAAUUAGUUUUUUUUUUCUAAUGCUGUGAUGAGGUGAAACACCAUAUGGUGUAAUAAGGGCAGUGGAAUUAGAGGGUUAUUUUAUAGCUUUCUCCGUGAGCCUAUUUUAUUAAACGACUUCUCCUUCCACUGAGCAUUAUGUCUGUUAUCUAAUUGUAUUAGAGUCCGAGUAAUUUAAAUUUAUGUUACAUAGGAAUAGUUUAAUAUUCGGAUUUUGAAUACGAGAUUUCUGAUUAUUGUGUGAUGGAUGGAUAUGAUUUUUGUAGAAGGCAAUAAAUUAGAGUCUCUGGUACGCUUUGUCAAUAGUGUAUACAGCGCUGUACGUUGCCAAGAAUGAAAUGGGGUGGAGAUUCUAGCACUAACACUAUUUCAAGUGUCUCUGUAUUCAGAUGCCUCUACAUUAUUUAGAUGAUAAAAUCUAAUCAAUGUUUCAUAUUAAGAUUUCAUGUUAUUAGUGUAGAUUCAAUUGAAGAUAAUUUAAAAAAUUAAUGGAUAAAUACAUACUAUUUGAAUGUUUGUGCUAUAAGGUUACUUUGCGUAACUUAGUCAAGGUUUUUGAUCCCUCAGCUUGAUGGUUUCAUUGCUUUAGGCUUGGCUUUAGAUUUGCAUGAUGAAACUGAUCAAUGUCCAGUAACUUUGAUCAAGAUCAAGUUUAAUUGAGGAAAGAGAUUGGCAUUCUUGUGUCUCAAGACAUGCAAGACAAUUGUGGCUAAGGCAUGAAAAGGGUAGGACAAAGUUGUGAUUGUGGCAUGGUUUGGUUAGGGAUUUACAUGAUGAACCUAAACAAUGUUGAAUAACUUUGAUCAAGAUCAAGUUUAAUUGAAGAAAGACAUUGACAUUGUUAUGUCUAAGGCAUGCAAGACAAUAUGUGGCUAAGGCAUGGUUUGGUUAGGGAUUUGUAUGAUAAACCUAAUCAAUGUCAAAUAACUUUGAUCAAGAUCCAAGUUCAAUUGAGGAAAGACAUUGGCAUUGUUAUGGUCAAGGCAUGCAAGACAAUGUGUGGCUAAGGGAUGAAAAGGGUAGGAUUAAGUUGUGAUUGUGGUAUGGUUGGGCUAAACAAGUUUAUGUGUUUAGUGUUGGUACAAGGAGUUGUAGAUUGUUUUGAGAACUAGAACUCUUUAUUUUUAUAAAUGACAUUAUUCUACACUUAACUAUGGUUAUUUAAGUGAUGAAUAUUCUUUUAAAUAAUUAAUUAAAUUAAUAAUUAAUGGGUUAAGUUUGAAAUUUAUUUAAUAUUUUACAUCACUUGAUUUAUUAUAUUAAAAUAGGUUAGUGGAUUUAUUACUUUUAAAAAUAUUAAAAGUGAUAAAU
rnacentral:lncRNA from 1 species